GCAACCCAAAGGUUGUUUUCCCUUGUCCUGGGAAGUUCCUUCAUGCUUGACAGCCACAGAAUCAGGACAUUUAAAGCCACUUUUUUGCAAUUCCUCCAAAAGCUGUGCUGUGAGCAUCAUGGCCAUUACUAAGAUUAAGAAUCUGUACACAGCAGCCUUGAGGCAUUAUGGCAUGUUCACUAACAGAAAAAAAAGUAUGGCCUACAGACCCAAAGAUGCACUGCAGACAGUUUUGCACUAUUUAAUUCCAUUUUGUUUGGCAAAUAAUUAUAAAGGAAUUACCUUGUUUCAAGCUGUUGCAGAAACCGACACAAGUUGCCAUAAGAUCUCUUCAGGUGAACCCUAUUCUCUACUACAGUUAAUAAUCAUAACAAAUUGAAGUGGUUGGUGUGCUUUCCGUUUUCAAUUCCUAGCUUCAUUAGGACCAAAAGGCCCAGCUCCCCAGCAAGCUCAUAAUAUAAAAAUUUCCUAUAUAAAAAAAAUCUCAUUAAAAGUUCUUUUGGACAGAAAGAACUGACUACUAUCUCAUGAUGGGGGAAGAAUGUUUCCAAGAUCCAAGUCAUACAAGCAUCUUAUACAUGAUUAUCCAAUUCUUGAAUCUCUUGGAUUGUGUAUUUUAUGAAGGAUUAGGCCUUCUCAAGGUAUAACAUCAUUUUUGCUUAUGGGGAAAAAAACAGGAAGUGCAGAGUCAUGAGCUAGUUGCAUUGCUUCUACAAAUGUUAAAGAAUUCUUUGUUUUAGGUGGGUAGUAUUGAUAAAUUCAUCUGGAAUUUUUUCCAAACCGAACCACACAUUCCCAAGUGCUUCUUCAUUUUAAAAACUGAACCAGAUUUUGGUUUUACUUACAUCAGUGUUACUCUGGAGUAGCUCUAUCAAAUUCAGUAAAUUUUUCCAGAAUUAAAUCAGUCUCACUUGAAGCUUGAAACAAAACAGAAUCUUAUUAUUGACUUCAUAUGUACUGGAUCAGGCCUUUAGCGAAGACUUCCUCACUGAAUUCCAUUUUAAACUCAAAGGAAUGAUUGAAAGGAAAAGUAAAAAAAACUUGCUAUGAUGUGUUGUUGUGUAGAUUUGUUAGAAGAGACUAGAAGCUAGUCUUGACCACAAACUUUCAAAAACCCAGACAUAUAAGGAAAGGAAGAUACCGGGAAAUUAUAUGAACUUUAUAGAUGAAAUCAC
rnacentral:lncRNA from 1 species